AGCGGGGGAAGGUAGCUUGCUACCCGACCUAGCGGCGGACGGGUGAGUAAUGCUUAGGAAUCUGCCUAUUAGUGGGGGACAACAUCUCGAAAGGGAUGCUAAUACCGCAUACGUCCUACGGGAGAAAGCAGGGGAUCUUCCGACCUUGCGCUAAUAGAUGAGCCUAAGUCGGAUUAGCUAGUUGGUGGGGUAAAGGCCUACCAAGGCGACGAUCUGUAGCGGGUCUGAGAGGAUGAUCGGCCACACUGGGACUGAGACACGGCCCAGACUCCUACGGGAGGCAGCAGUGGGGAAAAUUGGACAAUGGGGGGAACCCUGAUCCAGCCAUGCCGCGUGUGUGAAGAAGGCCUUAUGGUUGUAAAGCACUUUAAGCGAGGAGGAGGCUACUUUAGUUAAUACCUAGAGAUAGUGGACGUUACUCGCAGAAUAAGCACCGGCUAACUCUGUGCCAGCAGCCGCGGUAAUACAGAGGGUGCGAGCGUUAAUCGGAUUUACUGGGCGUAAAGCGUGCGUAGGCGGCUUAUUAAGUCGGAUGUGAAAUCCCCGAGCUUAACUUGGGAAUUGCAUUCGAUACUGGUGAGCUAGAGUAUGGGAGAGGAUGGUAGAAUUCCAGGUGUA
rnacentral:rRNA from 1 species